GAACUCUGGUAUUGAUUGGUGCUUGCAUCAUGAUUUACAUUUGAGUGAGUGGCGAACUGGUGAGUAACACGUGGGAAACCUGCCCAGAAGCGGGGGAUAACACCUGGAAACAGAUGCUAAUACCGCAUAACAACUUGGACCGCAUGGUCCGAGCUUGAAAGAUGGCUUCGGCUAUCACUUUUGGAUGGUCCCGCGGCGUAUUAGCUAGAUGGUGGGGUAACGGCUCACCAUGGCAAUGAUACGUAGCCGACCUGAGAGGGUAAUCGGCCACAUUGGGACUGAGACACGGCCCAAACUCCUACGGGAGGCAGCAGUAGGGAAUCUUCCACAAUGGACGAAAGUCUGAUGGAGCAACGCCGCGUGAGUGAAGAAGGGUUUCGGCUCGUAAAACUCUGUUGUUAAAGAAGAACAUAUCUGAGAGUAACUGUUCAGGUAUUGACGGUAUUUAACCAGAAAGCCACGGCUAACUACGUGCCAGCAGCCGCGGUAAUACGUAGGUGGCAAGCGUUGUCCGGAUUUAUUGGGCGUAAAGCGAGCGCAGGCGGUUUUUUAAGUCUGAUGUGAAAGCCUUCGGCUCAACCGAAGAAGUGCAUCGGAAACUGGGAAACUUGAGUGCAGAAGAGGACAGUGGAACUCCAUGUGUAGCGGUGAAAUGCGUAGAUAUAUGGAAGAACACCAGUGGCGAAGGCGGCUGUCUGGUCUGUAACUGACGCUGAGGCUCGAAAGUAUGGGUAGCAAACAGGAUUAGAUACCCUGGUAGUCCAUACCGUAAACGAUGAAUGCUAAGUGUUGGAGGGUUUCCGCCCUUCAGUGCUGCAGCUAACGCAUUAAGCAUUCCGCCUGGGGAGUACGGCCGCAAGGCUGAAACUCAAAGGAAUUGACGGGGGCCCGCACAAGCGGUGGAGCAUGUGGUUUAAUUCGAAGCUACGCGAAGAACCUUACCAGGUCUUGACAUACUAUGCAAAUCUAAGAGAUUAGACGUUCCCUUCGGGGACAUGGAUACAGGUGGUGCAUGGUUGUCGUCAGCUCGUGUCGUGAGAUGUUGGGUUAAGUCCCGCAACGAGCGCAACCCUUAUUAUCAGUUGCCAGCAUUAAGUUGGGCACUCUGGUGAGACUGCCGGUGACAAACCGGAGGAAGGUGGGGAUGACGUCAAAUCAUCAUGCCCCUUAUGACCUGGGCUACACACGUGCUACAAUGGAUGGUACAACGAGUUGCGAACUCGCGAGAGUAAGCUAAUCUCUUAAAGCCAUUCUCAGUUCGGAUUGUAGGCUGCAACUCGCCUACAUGAAGUCGGAAUCGCUAGUAAUCGCGGAUCAGCAUGCCGCGGUGAAUACGUUCCCGGGCCUUGUACACACCGCCCGUCACACCAUGAGAGUUUGUAACACCCAAAGUCGGUGGGGUAACCUUUUAGGAACCAGC
rnacentral:rRNA from 2 species